rnacentral:misc_RNA from 1 species
GAUGGAACGUAGCGAAAUGCGAUAAGUAGUGUGAAUUGCAGAAUUCAGUGAAUCAUCGAAUCUUUGAACGCACAUUGCACCUCUCGGUAUUCCGGGAGGUAUGCCUGUUCGAGCGUCAUUUGUACCCUCAAGCUCUGCUUGGUGUUGGGUGUUUGUUCCGCCUCUGUGUGUGAACUCGCCUCAAAACAAUUGGCAGCCGGCGUACUUGUUUCGGAGCGCAGCACAUUUUGCGAUCCAGAUCAACGUACAGCGGCAUCCAAGAAGCCUUAUUUAACGCUCUUGACCUCGGAUCAGGUAGGGAUACCCGCUGAACUUAAGCAUAUCAAUAAGCGGAGGA